rnacentral:lncRNA from 1 species
CAUCAGUUUUCCUUGUGGUUAUCUUCAACACUAAAUAAAGUCUAAUGUCACCUGAGUCGUGUUUUGACACACUGGUUUCAGUUGAGAGGCAUCAAAGUGCUUGAUUAAAUAGAAGCUCUCCUGUUGCUUCCCAAGAUGGAUAUGGAGUAUGUGAUAAAUGGCCAAUAGCUUGCCUGACAUUGUCCAAAGGCUGUAAACACUAACUGAAUCCCCAUUCUCACCUGCUGCCAGUUACUGCUUCCUGCUCUCUCCUUGUCUUACUGAUGUCGUUUUGCAAACCAUUUUGGAACACCUUAAAUUUGAGAUGGCAGCAAAGGGGCAAUUUGACAAAAAGAUGUCUGAAG